rnacentral:rRNA from 1 species
CGAACGCUGGCGGCAGGCUUAACACAUGCAAGUCGAGCGGGCACUUCGGUGUCAGCGGCAGACGGGUGAGUAACACGUGGGAACGUACCCUUUGGUUCGGAAUAACGCUGGGAAACUAGCGCUAAUACCGGAUACGCCCUUUUGGGGAAAGGCUUGCUGCCGAAGGAUCGGCCCGCGUCUGAUUAGCUAGUUGGUGGGGUAAUGGCCUACCAAGGCGACGAUCAGUAGCUGGUCUGAGAGGAUGAUCAGCCACACUGGGACUGAGACACGGCCCAGACUCCUACGGGAAGCAGCAGUGGGGAAUAUUGGACAAUGGGCGCAAGCCUGAUCCAGCCAUGCCGCGUGAGUGAUGAAGGCCUUAGGGUUGUAAAGCUCUUUUGUCCGGGACGAUAAUGACGGUACCGGAAGAAUAAGCCCCGGCUAACUUCGUG